CCUACGGGAGGCAGCAGUGGGGAAUAUUGCACAAUGGGCGAAAGCCUGAUGCAGCGACGCCGCGUGAGGGAUGACGGCCUUCGGGUUGUAAACCUCUUUCAGCAGGGAAGAAGCGCAAGUGACGGUACCUGCAGAAGAAGCACCGGCUAACUACGUGCCAGCAGCCGCGGUAAUACGUAGGGUGCGAGCGUUGUCCGGAAUUAUUGGGCGUAAAGAGCUCGUAGGCGGCUUGUCGCGUCGGAUGUGAAAGCCCGGGGCUUAACUCCGGGUCUGCAUUCGAUACGGGCAGGCUAGAGUUCGGUAGGGGAGAUCGGAAUUCCUGGUGUAGCGGUGAAAUGCGCAGAUAUCAGGAGGAACACCGGUGGCGAAGGCGGAUCUCUGGGCCGAUACUGACGCUGAGGAGCGAAAGCGUGGGGAGCGAACAGGAUUAGAUACCCUGGUAGUCCACGCCGUAAACGUUGGGAACUAGGUGUGGGCGACAUUCCACGUCGUCCGUGCCGCNGCUACGCAUUACGUUCCCGUCCGUGGGUAGGUACGGCCGCGACGACGUAAACGUUAAACGGUAAGUUAGACGGCGUGAGACGUGCCGACGGACGACGACGAGGGAGGUAGG
rnacentral:rRNA from 1 species